rnacentral:rRNA from 1 species
UUCCUACGGGGGGCAGCAGUGAGGAAUAUUGGUCAAUGGGCGGGAGCCUGAACCAGCCAAGUCGCGUGAAGGAAGAAGGUACUUAGUAUUGUAAACUUCUUUUGUCGGGGAACAAAGGCGGAGACGCGUCUCCGGAUGAGUGUACCCGAAGAAAAAGCAUCGGCUAACUCCGUGCCAGCAGCCGCGGUAAUACGGAGGAUGCGAGCGUUAUCCGGAUUUAUUGGGUUUAAAGGGUGCGCAGGCGGGCUGUUAAGCCGGCGGUAAAAAUUCAGGGCUCAACCCUGUUGAGCCGUCGGAACUGGCAG